rnacentral:rRNA from 1 species
UGGGGAAUAUUGGACAAUGGGCGCAAGCCUGAUCCAGCCAUGCCGCGUGUGUGAAGAAGGCCUUAGGGUUGUAAAGCACUUUCAGUGGGGAGGAAGGGGUUGUUGUUAAUAGUAACAAUCUUUGACGUUACCCACAGAAGAAGCACCGGCUAACUCCGUGCCAGCAGCCGCGGUAAUACGGAGGGUGCAAGCGUUAAUCGGAAUUACUGGGCGUAAAGCGCACGCAGGCGGCUUUUUAAGUCGGAUGUGAAAGCCCCGGGCUCAACCUGGGAAUUGCAUUCGAUACUGGAAAGCUAGAGUAUGUGAGAGGGGGGUAGAAUUCCAAGUGUAGCGGUGAAAUGCGUAGAGAUUUGGAGGAAUACCAGUGGCGAAGGCGGCCCCCUGG